rnacentral:rRNA from 1 species
UAGGGAAUCUUCGGCAAUGGGGGCAACCCUGACCGAGCAACGCCGCGUGAGUGAAGAAGGUUUUCGGAUCGUAAAGCUCUGUUGUAAGAGAAGAACGUGUGUGAGAGUGGAAAGUUCACACAGUGACGGUAACUUACCAGAAAGGGACGGCUAACUACGUGCCAGCAGCCGCGGUAAUACGUAGGUCCCGAGCGUUGUCAGGAUUUAUUGGGCGUAAAGCGAGCGCAGGCGGUUUAAUAAGUCUGAAGUUAAAGGCAGUGGCUUAACCAUUGUUCGCUUUGGAAACUGUUAAACUUGAGUGCAGAAGGGGAGAGUGGAAUUCCAUGUGUAUCGGUGAAAUGCGUAGAUAUAUGGAGGGACACCGGUGGCGAAAGCGGCUCUCUGGUCUGUAACUGACGCUGAGGCUCGAAAGCGUGGGGAGCAAACAGG